UGGGUAACCUGCCUCAAAGAGGGGAAUAGCCUCCCGAAAAGGGAGAUUAAUACCGCAUAAUAUGUUUAAGUCGCAUGACUUUAACAUCAAAGGAUUUUUCUUUUAAGAAAUUCCACUUUGAGAUGGACCCGCGGCGCAUUAGCUAGUUGGUGAGGUAACGGCUCACCAAGGCAACGAUGCGUAGCCGACCUGAGAGGGUGAUCGGCCACAUUGGAACUGAGACACGGUCCAGACUCCGUAGGGAGG
rnacentral:rRNA from 1 species